ACCUUUAGUGUCACUUGUAAAAGAGAAAUGGCCAGGCCUCUUCUUACAGCAUCAGGUGUAUGGAGAAUUCAAACGAAUAACGGGAAUCGACCUGUAUAAAACCUUCCUGUUUGCUUUGGAAACGUAUGCAAAUGGGUUUAUUCGCUUGUUCAGAACAAAAGGAGGUGAUGAAAUCGGGACCCUUUUGGAAAGACUUGAUCAGCAGACUACAGACAUAACUGAACACCGUAGAUCAGUUGCAUUGAAAGGCCUUCCACGUUACCUGAGAGAGCACAC